AUUAUUUUCAUAUGCACAAAACUUAUUUCAAUAUUUGCAGUAUCCAGUGGUAUGGAUAGUAAAAUGCUUGCUUCACGUCCUUGGACUAGAUGACCUCUUAUCUAUUCUCGUCUUCUAACUAGCGAGUGGAGGAAAGUAAGAAACAACUUCUCUUAUCGGCACUGCAAUGCACCAUAAUACACUAUUAAUAAGCACCUUAUCUAUAAAAA